ACCAACCCCCCGGAGCGGCACAAGGAUCUUUAAUUUACUUCUCACGGGAAAAUUACCCCGGCCCGGAAACUGGGAGGAUUGACAGAUUGGGGGUAUCUUGUUCGUUUCCGUGGGUGGGGGCGCGUGGCUGCUCCGUACUGCCCCAGACUUUGUGUCGACGAACGGAUAACACUUAGGAGGGGAACCUAAUAGAUAGCCGGGGGCUAAUUUAUGCAACCGGGCAGCAACUUUCCUCUAGGGGCGGAUGGCCCGUAAGCCGUACGAGAUAUAGAAGUAACUGGUCUCCUGUGAGGUUAGGUGUCCCGCGCCCCACGCACUCUACAGAGAAGUGAUCAGCCUCCUCCUAAGCCCCCUCCGGUGGGAAAGGGUAGACCUUUCUCCCCUCAUUGGGAUAGGGAUUGAUGUUUAUUUUCCUUGCUCGAGAACUAUCAAGUCAGCGUAAGUGAUAAUCAUUCCCUUACGCCGAUUACGUCCUUGCCCUUACCGACCGCCCCCGUCUUUACUAGCGAUUGACUCGAU
rnacentral:rRNA from 1 species